CGGAGAGUGCGAACGUUGUUCGGAUUCACUGGGCGUAAAGGGCACGUAGGCGGCUCGGCAAAUCGGUCGUGGAAUCCCGACGCUUACCGUCGGAACGGCGGCCGAAAAUACCGGGCUCGAGGGCGUGAGGGGUCACUGGAACUCCUGGUGAAGCGGUGAAAUGCGUAGAUAUCAGGAGGAACGCCGGAGGCGAAAGCGAGUGACUGGCGCGUUCCUGACGCUGAGGUGCGAAAGCUAGGGGAGCAAACAGGAUUAGAUACCCUGGUAGUCCUAGCCGUAAACGAUGGACACUGAGUGGGGGAGGGCUUGCCUUUCCCUACUGCAGCUAACGCGUUAAGUGUCCCGCCUGGGGAGUACGGCCGCAAGGUUA
rnacentral:rRNA from 1 species